AUUAGAAGCUUGCUUCUAUGACGUUAGCGGCGGACGGGUGAGUAACACGUGGGCAACCUGCCUGUAAGACUGGGAUAACUUCGGGAAACCGAAGCUAAUACCGGAUAGGAUCUUCUCCUUCAUGGGAGAUGAUUGAAAGAUGGUUUCGGCUAUCACUUACAGAUGGGCCCGCGGUGCAUUAGCUAGUUGGUGAGGUAACGGCUCACCAAGGCAACGAUGCAUAGCCGACCUGAGAGGGUGAUCGGCCACACUGGGACUGAGACACGGCCCAGACUCCUACGGGAGGCAGCAGUAGGGAAUCUUCCGCAAUGGACGAAAGUCUGACGGAGCAACGCCGCGUGAGUGAUGAAGGCUUUCGGGUCGUAAAACUCUGUUGUUAGGGAAGAACAAGUACGAGAGUAACUGCUCGUACCUUGACGGUACCUAACCAGAAAGCCACGGCUAACUACGUGCCAGCAGCCGCGGUAAUACGUAGGUGGCAAGCGUUAUCCGGAAUUAUUGGGCGUAAAGCGCGCGCAGGCGGUUUCUUAAGUCUGAUGUGAAAGCCCACGGCUCAACCGUGGAGGGUCAUUGGAAACUGGGGAACUUGAGUGCAGAAGAGAAAAGCGGAAUUCCACGU
rnacentral:rRNA from 2 species